UAUUUAUGUUUCUUGAUAGCAUUUUUAUAUUAUUUACACACAUGAUUUUUUAUAGUUUAUAAGUGGAUGAGAUUUUCAAAAUCAUGCAUAUCGAAAGAAACAGGGGGUAGUUUAAAAAGUGAUGGCACUAUUGCAGUCAUGUUGUUUGAGCGCCUCGCUACGCACGGGAAGCAUAAUAAUAGGGGUACUUAUGUUGGUAACGUCGCUUUUGCUCUGCGGCUAUCCCAGCUACGAAGGCUUUGCUUCCAUUUUAUCUUUUUUCAUAUACAUAGAUUGUAUAAUAACUGCGAUAACCAGCAUUUUGUUUCUCGUAUUUGGGAUGAUUAUGGAUAGAUUAUGGGCUGUGGCAAUGUAUGCAAAUGUAUUGGCUAUAAAAAUUUUCGUGGAUUUAAUACUUUUUAUUGCAGCGAUAAUUAUAGGAAGCAAAUUUACUUUUAAUCUAGUAAACGCAGUAUUUAUGACGCG